rnacentral:lncRNA from 1 species
AAAGGAAAGAGUUCGACACCGAGGCAUAGUAAUAUCCUAGAUGGUGCGCUUGAGGCUCUGCCAGCUCCUCAACGACAACAUUUAGAGCAUCUUAGUGGCCCCAUUUCCAUUGAAGCAAGUUUUAUGUCACCAGUUCCAUAGGACUAUUUUGCCACUGCCUUGUAGAAGCUAAUGUGAUGUAAUAGAUUUAUGUUUAAUAUUAGACUUAGUAUGUAUUAGUGCAGAUGAAAUAUAUGGGCAUGUUUGUGCGUGGAACAAGGUGUUGAAUUAUUCACUUUCUGGAG